rnacentral:rRNA from 1 species
UACGGAGGGGGCUAACGUUGUUCGGAAUUACUGGGCGUAAAGCGCACGUAGGCGGUUUUGCAAGUUAGAGGUGAAAGCCCGGGGCUCAACUCCGGAAUUGCCUUUAAAACUGCAUCGCUAGAAUUGUGGAGAGGUAAGUGGAAUUCCGAGUGUAGAGGUGAAAUUCGUAGAUAUUCGGAAGAACACCAGUGGCGAAGGCGACUUACUGGACACAUAUUGACGCUGAGGUGCGAAAGCGUGGGGAGCAAACAGG